UUGCCUCUAUGUCAGAGAUGGCAGAGUUUAGUGUGCAGGACCAGUUGACCAGCCUCUUGCUCCUGUAGAUCACUCCCUCAUCGUGCAUGCGGAUAAAGGCCUCUUGGACUGCAUAGGAAAGUUUCUGGACAGAGAAACAUGUAUAGACAUGAAAAAGAGGAAUAUUUCUUCAGAUUCUAUUCAGAUUAGUUCAGAGAUUUCCAAAAACUCACAGGGUCCAUAGUGAAGCAAGCUCUGUCCCAGUCCAGAGAAGAGCCCAGCUUCUUCAGCUGGUGGUAGAUACGGUCUCCCUUCCUAAAAAGGCAAAAAGGGGCUCAGUUAUUACUGUCUCUUUAUUCCAGUUUUUAAUCCUACUUCAAACAUCUCCUCCUUUCUACUACUUCCUUCACUCACUCAUUCUUCCAUUUCCAGACUUCCUGGAUGAAGUUUUCCCUGCCCAAAUCGUGACGGCUCAUGCCCCUCUCUCUCAUCAGCUUUUUUUCCACCACCACCUGGGUGGCGAUACCAGCGUGAUCACAGCCCGGGUUCCACAAGGUGGUCUCACCUCUCAUCCUGUGCCUUGGAGAACGGAAGAAAGCACACCACUUUGAUAGGCAGAUGCAACAAAAGUAAUCCAGGGUCCCCAUGCCAGUGACCCCAGUGUGGCAGCUGUCCAGCAGGGCCCCCAGCAUGGAGGAGGUGCAGAAGUAGACGCCAAAGAAACAGGUUUCCCCAAUACCCAGUAGUAUUUCUGCAGCUGAGCCCAUCAAGGACAAAAGGUCAGAGAUAAAGAGGUGGAGCAAGGUGUAGAUGUCUCCAGGCAGGGCUGCCAGAACUCCAAGGUCUUCCUGAAGAACGUGGGUGACCUCUCAGGUGGCUAGCCACUACGUGGAUCAGCCACCAGGCUUCAUUCAGCCCAGCCCAGUUCCACCUUUGCCCAUUUUGGAUUCCGGAGCAGCCAACAUUGGGCAUCACAACGGCUUUUCAGGAUCCUAUGGGUGAAGUCAUGGACACUACAUCCAGGUAACUGGGUGAUUGUGGAGAACACAGGCCGCAGUGGAGCUGUAAGGAUGGAGACGGUGGUGGAAAGGACGUAGACUAGAGUGCUGCUGGAAUUGUCAUCUGUCUCUAGUUCAUCCAGAGUUUCAGUUGUGCUUGAAUCUACAUCUUCAGAUCCUGUGUUUUCACCAGUAAGAUCUGCAUCCAGCUCUUCUAUAUUUCCAGGGAGCCCAUCAGUGUGAAGACCCACUCCAAUUCCAACAGCCUCUCCAUCUGCUCCUCCACAGCCUUCUGAGAACAGCUCUGCCACUCCUAGUGUCUCCUCCAGCUCUUUCACGCUCACUUGUCUCUCCCCCUCCCCUGUCUCUCUGAUUAACCCCACACUGAAACCACUCUUCCCUUCUGGGGCAGCGCAGCACACUGCAGACCACAGUGGCUUAGUCUGACACUCCUCGUCUCCAUCCUCAGCAGCCCCGAAACCUCCGGCCCCGGUCAGGAUGUAGAGAUCACCGCCUAAAGUGCUGCACUGGGGUGUGAAGGUUGACAGAACCAGUGUUGUGACUGUUGCAUCCCAGUGUGUAAGCGGGGAGUCUGUAGGCGAGACAGGGUGAGAUGGAUCUCCACCUCCUCUGAGAAGGGCUGGGAUUGCUAUUUUAAUGAUGUCUUCUUCUUCCUUUGUCUGGCAGAUAAAAUCAUCAAAAUCAA